UAAAUGCUUGUUGCUGAAUGUUGCUGCUUUUUUUAACCUUCCAUACAUGUUGGAUACACCCAAAGGUAAGGUGAAGAAUCCAGACUUUCUAAAAGGGGUUUCAUCUAUUUGCAACAAAGAAGAACAUCUCAUUGCGGUAACUCUUAUCUUCUUCCUCACUUUGGAUUUUAAG